UCGGGAAUUUUGGGCAAUGGGCGAAAGCCUGACACAGCAACGCCGCGUGAAGGAUGAAGUCCCUCGGGAUGUAAACUUCGUAAGAAUAGGAAGAAUAAAUGACGGUACUAUUUGUAAGGUCCGGCUAACUACGUGCCAGCAGCCGCGGUAAUACGUAGGGACCAAGCGUUGUUCGGAUUUACUGGGCGUAAAGGGUGCGUAGGCGGCAUAUCAAGUCACUUGUGAAAUCUCCGGGCUUAACUCGGAACUGCCAAGUGAUACUGAUGUGCUAGAGUGCAGAAAGGGCAACUGGAAUUCUUGGUGUAGCGGUGAAAUGCGUAGAUAUCAAGAGGAACACCUGAGGCGAAGGCGGGUUGCUGGGCUGAUACUGACGCUGAGGCGCGAAAGCUAGGGUAGCAAACGGGAUUAGAUACCCGUGUAGUCCCUGAGCGGGCUGGCAAGGCGCAU
rnacentral:rRNA from 1 species